UACGAAGGGAGCUAGCGUUGUUCGGAAUCACUGGGCGUAAAGCGCACGUAGGCGGAUGUGUCAGUCAGGGGUGAAAUCCCGGGGCUCAACCUCGGAACUGCCUUUGAUACUGCGGGUCUUGAGUCCGAUAGAGGUGGGUGGAAUUCCUAGUGUAGAGGUGAAAUUCGUAGAUAUUAGGAAGAACACCGGUGGCGAAGGCGGCCCACUGGAUCGGUACUGACGCUGAGGUGCGAAAGCGUGGGGAGCAAACAGG
rnacentral:rRNA from 1 species